AGUUUUAUUCUACAAUUUUAAAAGCAAAACUUAAAGAUGCAGUAAAAGCUUUUUUACUUUAUAUUAUAGGUCUGGCUGAAGUCAAGCAGAUAGGCGAGGUGGAGAAUGCACCAGGCAGACAGCUUCAGCUGGGGAUGCACUGGGCAGACUGACAGAACAGGGAAUGUGCUGUGCAGCGAAGCAGAAGAGAUGGAAACCUGUGUAGCCAGCUCUCUUCAGGAGGGAUCACUGCUUCAGCAUCUUACUCUUUCCAGCCAUGCAAAGGCUCAUGGGCCCCUGUGAGUAUUUUCUUCUUUUUUUUUUUUGCUUCAUUUCAAACUUUCAGCUUCUCUAUUUCAGACUCUUCACUUGGCAGCA
rnacentral:lncRNA from 1 species